rnacentral:rRNA from 1 species
AUUGAACGCUGGCGGCGUGCUUAACACAUGCAAGUCGAGCGGUAACGCGGGGGCAACCCUGGCGACGAGCGGCGAACGGGUGAGUAAUGCUUCGGAAUCUUCCUCGUAGUGGGGAAUAACUUGGGGAAACUCAAGCUAAUACCGCAUACGAACUACGGUUGAAAGCGGGGGAUCGCAAGACCUCGCGCUAUGAGAUGAGCCGAAGUCGGAUUAGCUAGUUGGUGGGGUAAUGGCCUACCAAGGCGACGAUCCGUAGCUGGUCUGAGAGGACGACCAGCCACACUGGGACUGAGACACGGCCCAGACUCCUACGGGAGGCAGCAGUGGGGAAUAUUGGACAAUGGGCGCAAGCCUGAUCCAGCGACGCCGCGUGUGUGAAGAAGGCCUGCGGGUUGUAAAGCACUUUUAGUGGGGAUGAAAAGCCAAGGGCUAAUACCCUUUGGUCUUGACCUAACCCAAAGAAAAAGGCACCGGCUAACUCUGUGCCAGCAGCCGCGGUAAUACAGAGGGUGCAAGCGUUAAUCGGAAUUACUGGGCGUAAAGCGUGCGUAGUCGGCUUUUCAAGUCGGGUGUGAAAGCCCCGGGCUCAACCUGGGAAUUGCAUUCGAUACUGGAUCGCUAGAGUUCCGGCAGAGGGAAGCGGAAUUUCGGGUGUAGCGGUGAAAUGCGUAGAUAUCCGAAGGAACAUCAGUGGCGAAAGCGGCUUCCUGGACCAGAACUGACGAUCAGGCAACGAAA